UGCUCACUGAACAAGGUCUCAAGUUGUUGUUGGUCAACACUCCAUGCAAGGUUUCCUACGUAGACUCUGUUGGAGCUGUCCAUACUCCCUCCACCCCUGCCUCCCUGGUAAGAAGAAUUGCCCCCGAAAGAAUUCUCCCUUUUGGGUGGUGCUGGCCCAGAAUUCACCCUCAGUGCCCUCCCGUCAAUUUCAUAGCCAUUAAAUUGUUGACAGGCAGCUUCAACUGCCUCUUUGGAGGACAUUGUCACAAAGCCAAAACCUCUGCUUCUUCCUGUAAGCUUGUCAUAGAUAACCUCAACCAUUUCAACAUCUCCAGCACGUUCAAAAAGCUCAGCAAGAUACGCACUAUCAACACUGAAAGGCAAAUUACCAACAAAGAUUUUAAGGUCAGGAUUGGCAUUACGUUCUUGAUAUGAAGCACCUUCAUCACUCAAACCCCCUUCCUCCUCCUCAUCAUCAUCACCAGCCCCAACUUCCUCAAUUUGGUCAAAAUCAGAAAGGGUUACUUUACGAACAAAACGAGAAGACUCAAAGUAUCUUGGGGUUGAAGAAGAUGAUAAAGAAAGGUUUAAAGAGGAAGAAGGAAGUGAAAAGAAGGAAAUUGAAGUUGUUUGGGAAGUGGGUUUUGGGAGUGUUUGUGGUGUAAGUGAAAGGAAAUGGAGGACAGAGAUGGCCGGACUUACAAUUUGAACGGAAGAAGAGGAAGAAAGUAUUUGGUGCAGUGGAUCUGGAACCCAAUUCUGAAAGCCUGUGCUGGUCCCAAUGCGAUGGACUAGUGGCGCCAAAGAAUCUGUAGCUAAGAAACUCCAUGGAUGGAGCUUGAUGAUAAAGCAAAAAAUGGAGGAAGGAGAAGAAUGGUAGACCAAAGAAACAGAGUGAGCAGUUUGCCGACUAGUUUUGGCCGGGAUUACAAUUACUUUAUUU
rnacentral:misc_RNA from 1 species